rnacentral:rRNA from 1 species
AGAGCGAACGCUGGCGGCAGGCUUAACACAUGCAAGUCGAGCGGGCGUAGCAAUACGUCAGCGGCAGACGGGUGAGUAACGCGUGGGAACGUACCUUUUGGUUCGGAACAACCCAGGGAAACUUGGGCUAAUACCGGAUAAGCCCUUACGGGGAAAGAUUUAUCGCCGAAAGAUCGGCCCGCGUCUGAUUAGCUAGUUGGUGGGGUAAUGGCUCACCAAGGCGACGAUCAGUAGCUGGUCUGAGAGGAUGAUCAGCCACAUUGGGACUGAGACACGGCCCAAACUCCUACGGGAGGCAGCAGUGGGGAAUAUUGGACAAUGGGCGCAAGCCUGAUCCAGCCAUGCCGCGUGAGUGAUGAAGGCCCUAGGGUUGUAAAGCUCUUUUGUGCGGGAAGAUAAUGACGGUACCGCAAGAAUAAGCCCCGGCUAACUUCGCGCCAGCAGCCGC